CAUAAUUUUUUGUGGUGCAUUUACUUGAUUGGUGCUUGGGGAUGUUUGAGGCAGAUUUGUUUCCGYCGUUUUGAGGCCAGCUUGCUGGUACCCAAACGGUGUUAGCAUUUUUUGUCUUGGRCAUUUGAGUAUGGCUYACGUGUAUUUAUUGGACAGAUCUGAGUGUAAGUUACGGUCGCAUGCGACACGUGCUUUUCAAUUAGUUCGGUCCAGUUAAUGCUCUCGUACUCGUUCCCCAUGUAAAAGCCGGUCAUCUAUCCGACCCGUCUUGAAACACGGACCAAGGAGUUUAUCGUGUGCGCAAGUUUUUGGGUGUUAAAAACUUAAAAGCGAAAUGAAAGUAAAUGACUCUUUAGAGUCUGAUGUGCGAUCUUGUAAAAAAGUGUAGCAUGGCCCCAUUCUAACUGUUUACAGUAGGGUGGCGGAAGAGCGUACGCGGUGAGACCCGAAAGAUGGUGAACUAUUCCUGAGCAGGACGAAGCCAGAGGAAACUCUGGUGGAAGUCCGAAGCGGUUCUGACGUGCAAAUCGAUCGUCUGACUUGGGUAUAGGGGCGAAAGACUAAUCGAACCAUCUAGUA
rnacentral:rRNA from 1 species